UGCAAUGAUGAGAACAUGGAAUAUAGGAAGUGCCGUCAGAUGCGAUAACUGACGAUAAUCUCCAUGCCUGUCUGACC